UAAAAAGUACAAUGUUUCCCUCUGAGAUGUAGUGGAGUAGAAGUAUAAAGUUGCAUAAAAUGGAAAUACUCAAAGUACAGUUCUUGCAUAAAUGUACUUAUUGCACCACUGUUUAAUGUACCUAUUUGUUAUGUAUACCUUGUUUCUUAUUUGUCUUAUUGUUUACCCCUGGCUCUAAUAUUAUCUGUAUGUUGACUUUGCCACAUAAAGUUGAAAAAAAAUGCAAGGACAUUUUUAAACAGGUGUUGUAAAUAUCCUAAAUCAUGAUAUACCCCACACUACUGUACCUUGGGCAGUACUAUAGUAUAUUAUGUAGCCCAGUGGUAAAUUCGGGUAUUAUAGUGUAAGGGAAACUGGGUGGGUUAUGAUUGAUCCCUCUUAUUCUCAAAACCCAGUGACAUGACUAUUAAAAUGUAAACGUUUAUUUACUUUAAAUAAAUAAGUGACAACUGAUUUUCAAAUAAGUAAAUACUAAUUUAUUUUACAUGAUUAAAGGGAGAUCAAUAAUUUAUUUUAUUUCAUGACAGUGAUUAAAACUAAAGGUUAAAGUUUAUAUUAUUUUGUUAAAUAAUAUUAUCAGAGGUUUUAUGCAGCUAUCCUUUUAUUACUUUAUCCUUCCUGUGUUUAUGUGACCGCUUUUUAUUGGUCAUUUGAGUAUUCACGCUGUAUUGUGAGUAGUGUUUGGCUGCAUGCACGUAAAAACGGGGUACACGUGACGGGAGAGAGCGACACGGAUGAAAAGUGCUGGAAGCAGUUUUUCCCUCGCUCGUUUUUUUUUGGCUCGCUCUCUCUUGCUGGACCCGUGGGGAGCACGGGACGCUCGCACGUUUAGAGAGAAGGAAAAAGACGCUAAAAAGAGCCACUAAAGUCGACGAAACUGAGAGGGAGGUUCAGAGAAGGGGACCGUUUGUGACUGAGAAACGAGGCCGGCGACCCGUCUGACGGAGCGGACGCCGCGAUCGGAGGUAGCCGAGCUAGCUAGCCACGGCGGGCGCACACGAGGCAGAGCUGUUGGUUCAUCGCACCGCACCUGCGUAUCCGGACCAGUCUUUUCGACGCUCUCAAUGUUUUGUAAGUGUCAGUUCAGCGCACUCAAUGUUUUGCGAGACCAAAACAGGCCUGCAACGUUGUUUUUUCUUUUUUUCUUCGUUCAAUCGGUACCGUGGAUGAACUCUCUCUACAGCUGAUUGGACAAAUGCACCCCGCCCUGAGCUGUCACUGAUCUGUGCUUCUGGAAAUAUGUACCUUGCCAUUUUUAUUUACUUCUUUGCCAUUCAAGUUUGCCGGUUAUCAGUCUUUCUUGUCUUUGGCUCUGCUGACUGAGUUUUACCUUCACCAGCGAGAUGAUGCAUACCUCUCAAAUGUUUGCAUUACUCCAAACUGCUGAAAUCACAACCCAAAGUAAACAUGACCCCUCCCAGGAGAAAGAUAAAGCCUCCCACCAAUAAAUUAGUUUCACACUUUGAGUUUGUUUUCUUCUAUUUACCAGUGCAGCUGCAUGCUCUGUUCCUCAUUGACCUCCGACCUCUGAUAGCAGAUGGGUUUACUCUUGGCCAAUGGAAACAUUAACACUUGAUAGAGACAGAAAAGUGUCUGUGGAUACAGAGUUUAAACCAACGGUUUUGUGCAGGUGUUAAAAAUAUACACCUUACUCCAGAAAGACAGCCCAGCUGCUUUGCAUACUGUACACUGAUUAAGUCAAAACAUGGUCCUUUUUAGUAAAAUGUGUCUACAGAUAAUCAUUUCAGACAAAAUUGUUAUGUUAGUGUGCCCUCAUUGAUAUAAAUGGGGAGGAAAAAAUAUUAAAAACACCUCUCAGUAUAAAUGGGAGUGUACAUCCUUAUGUCAACGCUUAUGUCUCUGCCUUUGGCUAUUAUUCCUUGAUAUUUCACUAAUUAUGUGAAUUUAUAUCAUAUAAUGCCUGAGUAGGUGUGGGCGUGGCUUUUCAUCCACAGAGUCCAUUAUUUUCUUUGUUAGUACAAUGCCGUCACUAAAAUAGGACAGAAAAGGAGUCUGUGUUUAAAUUAACAAUGUCAAUUUAACCCAUGCUUCGUUUCACCGGUAAGAGUUAGCUGGUAACGUAGCAUGUUCAGUGUUGUCAGUAUCAGUAUUGUUUUUAUGGUUACUUGCAGUUUAAUAAACCUUGUGCACUGAUUUUAGAGCAGUGAUUAAACCUGUUCCGAUUUUUUUACCACCACCUCGUUAAUUAUUUCGUCAUACUGGAGCAUUAUUGCUUACAUAAUGGACAGAUUGUCGAAGAAUAAUGACCCAAAACAGCAAUUCAUAGGCAUAUUCAUAAAACAUACAUUUCAUAAUGUAUACAUACUAUUUUAGAACCUAUGUACAGUGUAAAGUAUGUAUGUGUGUGCACAGAAAGAACAAACGUGACUCGGUCUUCAUGAUAAAAGCUUUUAUACAUACGGAGUCACAGGUUUACAGUUGUGUUCAAAAGCUUACAAAUCUCCCUCAACCUCGUGUGCAUAACCUACAUUAAUAAUACUCAACUGUGUAAAAAAACAACACAUAAAAUACAAAACAAUCAUUCUCUGUAUAAGGCGAGUAUGUUUUUUGCAAGUACAACUGAAACCCUGCUUGUGUUACUGUGAGUCAUUUUGGAUAAAUUCAGUGCCCAGAAUACUGUACAUUGCUGAGGGUUAGACGGGUGUAUCUGUUAUUCUGAUGUUCUUCCUCUAACUGAAUUUCACAUAUCGUCUGUUUCCAUUUCAGGAUCCUGAUAUGAUGGAAUAUCCUCCCUGAUAAUAAUAUUGGGGAAGAAAUUCUCUGUCCAUUUUUAUUUAUUCAUAUAUUUAAUUUAAAAGGUAAUAACUCUCCCUCUUUUUUAAAAAGAGUUUUGGUGCCUCAUAAUGGUCUACAGUUUCAGGUCCUGAAGAAUAAAAGUCUGGUGGGAAACACUGAAAUCCAAGAUGGUCCAAUUCAAAGAUAUCAGUACAAAAUAAAAUAAAAAAAACAGAUCCACAAAACCCUCAUUUUGGCACAAAAAAAAACUACAUAUGAAAAAUAAACAAUUAAACAAAAAAAUAAAUGG